CCGGCGCACGGGUGAGUAACACGUAUGCAAUCCACCUGUAACCGGGGGAUAACCCGGAGAAAUCCGGACUAAUACCCCAUAAUAUGGGCGCUCCGCAUGGAGAGCCCAUUAAAGAGAGCAAUUUUGGUUACAGACGAGCAUGCGCUCCAUUAGCCAGUUGGCGGGGUAACGGCCCACCAAAGCGACGAUGGAUAGGGGUUCUGAGAGGAAGGUCCCCACAUUGGAACUGAGACACGGUCCAA
rnacentral:rRNA from 1 species